CAUAAGGAAAGAAGUUACCUGAUUAAUCGUGGUAGUUCCAUAAGCUAUUGGUGGGUGCUUCCUUAUUUGAUCAUCGGAAGUUCAAAAUUGUUGUGCUUCUUCAUGUGAGGUUUCUACGCAAACAAUUUUAAAACAACAAAGAAAAGAAAACAAAAAUCUAUUAUUAAUCCUACUCCUAAAAAUAAAAAUUAAAGAUUAUUCCAAAUUAAUACAGUCCUAGAGAAUGAAAAUAAAAAAUUAAGUUUAAUCAUCGUUCAAAUCAUCAAAACGAGGCGAGUGCCCCCUUUCUAUUGGUUUUUUCCUUUUC
rnacentral:lncRNA from 1 species